CUUGUACUCCCUCCGUCCGGAAAUACUUGUCAUUGAAAUGGAUGUAUCUAGAUGUAUUUUAGUUCUAGACACAUCCAUUUUGAUGACAAGUAAUUCCUGACGGAGGGAGUACUUG
rfam:Triticum aestivum genome assembly, contig: Triticum_aestivum_CS42_TGACv1_scaffold_225668_3B